rnacentral:misc_RNA from 1 species
GUUGACUGUUGUUUUGGUGGUGGCUGCUGCCGCCGCCUCCGUGGUGGUUGCCGGAGCUGAGAAAUUGCCGGCGGGGGUGCUUAGUUUGGAGAGGAUUUUUCCGGUGAAUGGGAAAGUGGAGCUGGAGGAGCUUAGAGCUAGGGAUAAAGCUAGACAUGCUCGAAUGUUGCAGAGUUUUGGUGGUGGUAUUGUUGAUUUUCCUGUUGUUGGUUCUUCUGACCCUUAUCUUGUCGGCCUUUAUUUUACAAAAGUGAGACUGGGAACUCCGCCAAGAGAAUAUAACGUGCAGAUUGAUACCGGCAGUGAUAUCCUGUGGGUCACCUGCAGUUCCUGUGACGAUUGUCCUCGAACAAGUGGACUUGGGGUUGAGCUCAACUUCUAUGAUGCUACAGUCUCAUCAACUGCCUCUCCUAUUUCUUGUGCGGACCAAGUGUGCGCCUCUAUAGUUCAAACUACCUCUGCUGAGUGCUCUACAGAAACCAAUCAGUGUGGUUACACCUUUCAGUAUGGAGAUGGGAGUGGCACAACUGGUCAUUACGUAGCCGAUUUAUUAUAUUUCGAUACAGUCCUGGGAACCUCGUUGAUUGCCAACUCCUCAGCACCAAUUGUUUUUGGGUGCAGCACCUCUCAGUCUGGUGACUUGACCAAGACGGACAGAGCAAUUGAUGGGAUUUUUGGGUUUGGUCAACAGGGACUAUCAGUUAUAUCUCAAUUGUCUUCUCGUGGGAUUACUCCUAAAGUAUUUUCACAUUGCUUGAAAGGAGAGGGAAAUGGUGGAGGUAUACUAGUCCUUGGUGAGAUUUUGGAUCCGAGAAUCGUAUAUAGUCCCCUUGUUCCGUCACAGGCGCAUUACAAUGUGUAUCUGCAGAGCAUAGCUGUUAAUGGACAGUUGGUGCCUGUUGAUCCAUCAGUGUUUGCGACAUCUGGCAAUCGAGGAACUAUUGUGGAUUCUGGUACAACUUUGUCUUAUAUUGCUGCAGAAGCUUAUGAUCCCUUUGUCAGUGCUAUAGCUGCUGCUGUUUCAAAAUCAGCAAGGCCAAUCAUCUCACGAACAAAACCGUGCUUUUUAGUGUCCUCAAGCAUAGCUGAGAUAUUUCCCCCAGUUUCUUUGAACUUCGAUGGCGGCGCAUCAAUGGCUUUAAGACCAGCAGACUACCUUGUGCAUAUGGGCUUUGUUGAAGGUGCUGCUAUGUGG